UCUCUCUCUCUCUCCUCUUCGUCUUCGUCUUCUUUGUAGGCGUAGGUUUUAUGGAGGAGGGAGUGGAGGAGAGUACGGGGAAUGUGGGAAUGUGGGAGUGGGGAGAAGGGCGUAAUAAAUAAAUGAGAGUCUCGUGUGGAGAAGGGAAAUGCCCUCCAAUGCUACGUGCUUUUGAGACCGAACUGUUUAAUGACAUACUCGCCGGACUUGGUCCGCCGAGUCCUACAAAUAUGUAAAAAAUAAACAGCUUUCUCAACAAAAAAAAAUCAUUAAGCAGAAUUAUCUAAGACUAGAACUCUUAAUCCGACUUAAGUAUUUUGGGUGAUGGCACGACCAAAAAAGUUAAGAGAGUUAAGAAUGCUAAAACGAGAGUAGUCUUAGGACGGAUGAUCUCCUGAAAAAUUGGGGCGUCACAUACAAUACAUCAUUAUCUCUCUAUUUCUAAGAUCGGUCAUAAUCAGAUUUGCUAGAUAUAUA
rnacentral:lncRNA from 1 species